rnacentral:rRNA from 1 species
UGCGUAGGUGGCGCGCUAAGUCAGGUGUGAAAUUUCGGAGCUUAACUCCGAAACUGCAUUUGAUACUGGCGUGCUUGAGGACUGGAGAGGAGACUGGAAUUCAUGGUGUAGCAGUGAAAUGCGUAGAGAUCAUGAGGAAGACCAGUGGCGAAGGCGGGUCUCUGGACAGUUCCUGACACUGAGACACGAAGGCCAGGGGAGCAAACG